UGCCAGCAGCCGCGGUAAUACAUAGGGGUCAAGCGUUGUCCGGAUUUAUUGGGCGUAAAGAGCUCGUAGGCGGCCUUGUAAGUCAGAUGUGAAAUCCCACGGCUCAACCGUGGAACUGCGUUUGAAACUACAAGGCUUGAGGGAGAUAGGGGUGAGCGGAACUGAUGGUGGAGCGGUGAAAUGCGUUGAUAUCAUCAGGAACACCGGUGGCGAAGGCGGCUCACUGGGUCUCUUCUGACGCUGAGGCACGAAAGCUAGGGGAGCGAACGGGAUUAGAUA
rnacentral:rRNA from 1 species